CAAGUCAGGAAUUUAUUGACCUGUGACUGCAAAUCUUAAACAUCAAACAUUCUUAAGAGGACAUUGUCAUUGUCCUUUAUCAGACCUCUUCUCGUCUGAAAGCAAGAUAAACAGCAGACCCCUUUCUGGCCAACAGAUAGAGUCAGAAAACAUCAAAGGAACAUGACUGUCCUCCUCAUCCUCACUGUCUGACUCAUCAUAGAAGUUGAUGGUGGCCUGCACGGGGAAGUUUCUGAGCAGAGCUUCGCCGUCACUGAAGAGGGAGAUAUUCCCAAAUAGUCCUGGUUGGGAAGAUUCGAUGGUGCUGUUGCUGGAAGAUAAGGAUGAAGCGUCGAGUCUUCGGCAGGUCAGUGAAUGAAUGAAGCAGAGUCGCUGCCGGGCUUUAUAUAAAGCC